rnacentral:rRNA from 1 species
AUUGAACGCUGGCGGCAGGCCUAACACAUGCAAGUCGAGCGAGCGGCGGACGGGUGAGUAAUGUCUGGGAAACUGCCUGAUGGAGGGGGAUAACUACUGGAAACGGUAGCUAAUACCGCAUAACAUCAGAUGUGCCCAGAUGGGAUUAGUUAGUAGGUGGGGUAAUGGCUAACUUAGGAGACGAUCCCUCGCUGGUAUGAGAGGAUGACCAGCCACACUGGAACGGAGACACGGUCCAGACUCCUACGGGAGGAAGCAGUGGGGAAUAUUGGACAAUGGGCGCAAGCCUGAUGCAGCCAUGCCGCGUGUAUGAAGAAGGCCUUCGGGUUGUAAAGUACUUUCAGCGAGGAGGCGUUACUCGCAGAAGAAGCACCGGCUAACUCCGUGCCAGCAGCCGCGGUAAUAC